rnacentral:rRNA from 1 species
GGUUUUUUUCACUUAAGGGGAACCUCGAAUGGCUCAUUAAAUCAGUUAUCGUUUAUUUGAUAGUACCUUACUACAUGGAUACCUGUGGUAAUUCUAGAGCUAAUACAUGCUGAAAACCUCGACUUCGGAAGGGGUGUAUUUAUUAGAUAAAAAACCAAUGCCCUUCGGGGCUCCUUGGUGAAUCAUAAUAACUUAACGAAUCGCAUGGCCUUGCGCCGGCGAUGGUUCAUUCAAAUUUCUGCCCUAUCAACUUUCGAUGGUAGGAUAGUGGCCUACCAUGGUGGCAACGGGUAACGGGGAAUUAGGGUUCGAUUCCGGAGAGGGAGCCUGAGAAACGGCUACCACAUCCAAGGAAGGCAGCAGGCGCGCAAAUUACCCAAUCCCGACACGGGGAGGUAGUGACAAUAAAUACUGAUACGGGGCUCUUUUGGGUCUCGUAAUUGGAAUGAGUACAAUCUAAAUCCCUUAACGAGGAACAAUUGGAGGGCAAGUCUGGUGCCAGCAGCCGCGGUAAUUCCAGCUCCAAUAGCGUAUAUUAAAGUUGUUGCAGUUAAAAAGCUCGUAGUUGAACCUUGGGUCUGGCUGGCCGGUCCGCCUCACCGCGAGUACUGGUCCGGCUGGACCUUUCCUUCUGGGGAAUCUCAUGGCCUUCACUGGCUGUGGGGGGAACCAGGACUUUUACUGUGAAAAAAUUAGAGUGUUCAAAGCAGGCCUUUGCUCGAAUACAUUAGCAUGGAAUAAUAGAAUAGGACGUGCGGUUCUAUUUUGUUGGUUUCUAGGACCGCCGUAAUGAUUAAUAGGGAUAGUCGGGGGCGUCAGUAUUCAGCUGUCAGAGGUGAAAUUCGUGGAUUUGCUGAAGACUAACUACUGCGAAAGCAUUUGCCAAGGAAGGAAGAAGAGAAAAG